UACGUAGGGGGCAAGCGUUGUCCGGAUUUAUUGGGCGUAAAGAGCGUGUAGGCGGCCAUACAGGUCCGUUGUGAAAACUCGAGGCUUAACCUCGAGACGUCGAUGGAAACCGUAUGGCUAGAGUCCGGAAGAGGCAAGUGGAAUUCCUGGUGUAGCGGUGGAAUGCGCAGAUAUCAGGAGGAACACCUAUAGCGAAGGCAGCUUGCUGGGACGUUACUGACGCUAAGGCGCGAAAGCGUGGGGAGCGAACAGG
rnacentral:rRNA from 1 species